CCUACGGGAGGCAGCAGUGAGGAAUAUUGGUCAAUGGACGAGAGUCUGAACCAGCCAAGUAGCGUGAAGGAUGACUGCCCUAUGGGUUGUAAACUUCUUUUAUAUGGGAAUAAAACGUUCCACGUGUGGGAUUUUGUAUGUACCAUAUGAAUAAGGAUCGGCUAACUCCGUGCCAGCAGCCGCGGUAAUACGGAGGAUGCGAGCGUUAUCCGGAUUUAUUGGGUUUAAAGGGAGCGUAGGUGGAUUGUUAAGGCAGUUGUGAAAGUUUGCGGCUCAACCGUAAAAUUGCAGUUGAAACUGGCAGUCUUGAGUACAGUAGAGGUGGGCGGAAUUCGUGGUGUAGCGGUGAAAUGCUUAGAUAUCACGAAGAACUCCGAUUGCGAAGGCAGUUCACUGAACUGCAACUGACACUGAGGCUCGAAAGUGUGGGUAUCAAACAGGAUUAGAUACCCUUGUAGUC
rnacentral:rRNA from 1 species